rnacentral:rRNA from 1 species
CCUACGGGAGGCAGCAGUGGGGAAUAUUGGGCAAUGGGCGCAAGCCUGACCCAGCAACGCCGCGUGAAGGAAGAAGGCUUUCGGGUUGUAAACUUCUUUUCUCAGGGACGAAGCAAGUGACGGUACCUGAGGAAUAAGCCACGGCUAACUACGUGCCAGCAGCCGCGGUAAUACGUAGGUGGCAAGCGUUAUCCGGAUGUACUGGGUGUAAAGGGAGUGUAGGCGGGACUGCAAGUCAGAUGUGAAAACCAUGGGCUCAACCUAUGGCCUGCAUUUGAAACUGUAGUGCUUGAGUACUGGAGAGGCAGACGGAAGUCCUAGUGUAGCGGUGAAAUGCGUAGAUAUUAGGAGGAACACCAGUGGCGAAGGCGGUCUGCUGGACAGCAACUGACGCUGAGGCGCGAAAGCGUGGGGAGCAAACAGGAUUAGAUACCCCGGUAGUC